rfam:Myotis brandtii contig321204, whole genome shotgun sequence.
UUUUUAGUGUAAGUAUGUCCCAUGCAAUAUUUUGGAUAUACUUACACUAAAU